AAAAGUAAUUUCACAUAUUAGGGAAAUAGCAUGCAUCACUAUAUAACAUGGAAGAAAGAAGAGAUCCAUCAGUCAACAUGAGAAGUGGAAAUCUAAAGAAACUUGAUAAGUAUUAAUUCAACACAACACUAUUAGACACAAAACACAAAAUCACAAACUGACAUUGAGAGACCUUGUUUAUAUAAAUAAGGGUCUGAAAUUGUAUUUAUGCAAAAUGUAAAUAUGUAUAUAAUUAGUUCCAUUGGGUUUUAGGCAAAUAGAAAGAUCAGUAGAUAUUUCUAUUUGACUGACAUCAUGAUGUGGAACAAUGUGUAUUGUUGUAUUAUAUGUAAAUAAUUUCUGUAAAGAAGGUAUUAGUUUUAGUUAACUUAGAGUAAGUAGUAUUAGCACUAAGAUUCAAUUUCUUGUAAUAGUUUUGUUCGACAUUUUUGUACUGAAUUUAAUGUAAAACCCCAAAAUUACCCUUACCCUUACUUUCCCGCAAAGAAUCCUUAGAGUAGAUUUAGUAAAUUGGUGACUAUAAUAUAAAUAUGUGACCUUGGGAAGGGCACAACAAAAAAGGGGGACGAUUGUGGAAAGGAAACUAGACUAACAGUUUGUGUGGGGGAGGGCCAACUGGGAGUGGCAGUUGGGUCUUGUGACUAGCACUUCCUUCCUGCCGGGAGAGGGCUUGCAUCCUGGGGUUGGAGGAGAGUGGAGCUUGUUCAGCCCAGUCUGGAGUAGCAUGCUCUUCUUGGUUCAGCCCAAAGACACAGGCUUCUAAAGGGCCCAACACACUAUGUAGAAGGUGUUUCUGUCUCUUCUGCAGUCAUAGCUACUGAAGACCCUUUGCCAUCAAGGCUCUUACUGUAUCCAGUGGUUCAAUGUCAAUGGAAAGUAACUGCUACACCCCAAGGACCAAUGACCUUCCCAUCCAGCUGGCAGCUGAAACAUCUAUGGGUGUUAUCUCCCCCAUUUGGGUGAGUUAUCCCUGAGAUCAGGGGGUUAUAUUUCUCCCCAG
rnacentral:lncRNA from 1 species